UACAGAGGUGGCAAGCGUUGCUCGGUAUCACUGGGCUUAAAGGGCGCGUAGGCGGUGCGGUACGGUUUCGGUGAAAUCCCUCGGCCCAACCGAGGAACAGCCGGGGCUACGGCCGCGCUAGACGGCAUCAGGGGACAGUGGAACUCCCGGUGGAGCGGUGAAAUGCGUAGAUAUCGGGAGGAACGCCGGUGGCGAAAGCGGUUCUCUGGGCCUUACCUGACGCUGAGGAGCGAAAGCAUGGGGAGCGAACAGG
rnacentral:rRNA from 1 species